GGCGAGCCGCUGAUUCAGAGACAACAGCUGCGUCCUCUCGUCUGACAACAGGCCCUCCUCCAGAGAACAGGUCCGACCACACCGCUCCUCUGGAGGUUCACACCUCGCUGAGUGCUCAAACACACCUGUGUGCUCAGGUUUCCUAUGAUGGCAAGUGACCACAAGGCUUCAGGGCCAAAAAGAAUAUGGAUCUCCUUCUGUGCAGUAUGCGCUGC